rnacentral:rRNA from 1 species
AUUGAACGCUGGCGGCAUGCUUUACACAUGCAAGUCGAACGGCAGCGGGGAGGAGCUUGCUUCUCUGCCGGCGAGUGGCGAACGGGUGAGUAAUACAUCGGAACGUGUCGAGAAGAGGGGGAUAACCACCCGAAAGGGUGGCUAAUACCGCAUAAAUUCUGAGGAAGAAAGCUGGGGACCUAGGAAUAGGCCUAGCGCUUUUUGAGCGGCCGAUGUCGGAUUAGCUAGUUGGUGAGGUAAAGGCUCACCAAGGCGAAGAUCUGUAGCGGGUCUGAGAGGAUGAUCCGCCACACUGGGACUGAGGCACGGCCCAGACUCCUACGGGAGGCAGCAGUGGGGAAUUUUGGACAAUGGGGGCAACCCUGAUCCAGCCAUGCCGCGUGUAUGAAGAAGGCCUUAGGGUUGUAAAGUACUUUUGUUAGGGAAGAAAAGUCAGCUGUGAAUAAUGGCUGAUACUGACGGUACCUAAAGAAUAAGCACCGGCUAACUACGUG